GGAGAAGCUUUAAGUGUAUAUGCUAAGUGAAGGAAGUUAAUCUGAAAAGCCUAUGUGCUGUAUGAUUCCAACCAUACGACAUUCUGAAAUACUCAAACCU